rnacentral:lncRNA from 1 species
GGUGUCAAGCAUGGCGUCCAAGGGUCUCGUUGUGUUUGCUGUCCUGCUUGCUGCGGCUUUCCUCGUGGCCACAGCUGAACAAACUCGUGAGCUAGUUAGCAGCACAUCAUUAGGCAAAGAAACCUGUUGCUACUGCUACUAAUCACAUGCAUACCGUUUUUGUUCAUGCAGAGGCCAAGAAGGAAGAGACUAAGGCCGGUGUUCAGGGUUACCACGGCGGCGGCAGCGGAGGCGGUGGCUACCAUGGCGGCGGCGGCGGCGGCGGGGGGUACCCUGGCCACGGGGGCGGCGGCGGCGGGUAUCCUGGCCACGGUGGCGGCGGAGGUGGCGGCGGCUACCCUGGCCACGGUGGUGGCGGAGGUGGCGGCGGCUACCCUGGCCAUGGGGGUGGCGGCGGCGGCGGCGGCAGCGGCUGCCGGUACCAGUGCUGCGGGCACGGGCAUAGUGGCUGCCGCUGCUGCGCAAGCCCCAACGAGAUCCCGGAGCCCAUGUAUCGGGCGGAGGUCCGCAACUAAGUAUCAGAUGCUACAUACGGACGUUGCUACUUGCCUGCACGUAGUAACUACUCGUAUAUGUGGUCAAUAAGAAGGUAGGUGCAUGUAUGUAUGUAUGUACGCAUACGUAUAGAUUGCACAGUUAUGUUGAUCCAAUAAUGCCAGGACUCUGUCCUGAUCGUGUAUUCACCCUGUAAGACUUCUCUUUCUUGCAUAAUACAUGCAACUGUCAUGCAUGUAUAACAAAAUCUCAUGACUCUUGUUCGAAACCGUAUAGCUCGUAUAUAUACCAGGUAUAUCCGCGAAAAGUUUUAAACAAUAACCGCAUAUAGUUUUGAGAGCGCAGCCGUCUGUGACGUGAUAUUGUUUUCUAGGAAUAUAUUAGCUUUUCUGCCAA